UGUAUGAAGCAAUCUUGGCUGAAUGCGAUGGCUCCCAGUGCAGGGAGGGCUCGGUGCUGCUGCGGUAUGGAAGACUGCCGCUUGCCUGCCCUUCUCUCUCUCGUCUCGGCUCAAAGGAGCACGGUUUGAGAGUCUUACCCGGCUCUCUCCAGCUAAACAGUCUACAGGACCCUAAAGAUGUAGAGGGAAGGAUUUAGAUGAACGGCUGUGCAAUGGUGAACAGAUUCAUCCCCAGGCACCCAAUCCAUUAUCCUGUCAACAACAGCAGGUCCCUGCCACAGUUAGCAGCAACAUUGGCCAUAAUGAAAUCAUCAGUAAUCCCAAAACUCAUCUCAUCAUACCCAAGAGAGUUUCAGGAGGAAGGAUUGCUGGAAGAGAUCAGUGGGAGCCACUGAGUGGGCAGAGAAAAAUAGCCAGGCCAGUGAAGAUGGAUGGGUGACAGUCCCAUCGGUCACAGCGAUUCAGCGCUCAGUCACCACGGAGACAAGCAGUGAAACCGGGAAUGCUGGAAGGCCACAACCUGAGAAAAAAAUUAUAUGGAAAAGAAAGCAGAUUCAAUUUUAUAAAUGUAAAUCACAAACUGAUAAAUGCAGUUGGUACUUUCCAUGAAUGCAGACCCAUUAUUUUGGGACUAUUGGACAAUGUUUUUUUUUUUUAAUUAUUACAGACAGAAAUCUUAUGUUUUUUGCUGUGAAAA
ensembl:lncRNA